rnacentral:rRNA from 1 species
GCGCCCGUCCCGCCGCCCCCGCCCGCCUACGGGAGGCAGCAGUGGGGAAUAUUGCACAAUGGGCGAAAGCCUGAUGCAGCAACGCCGCGUGAGUGAUGAAGGCCUUCGGGUUGUAAAGCUCUGUCUUCUGGGACGAUAAUGACGGUACCAGAGGAGGAAGCCACGGCUAACUACGUGCCAGCAGCCGCGGUAAUACGUAGGUGGCAAGCGUUGUCCGGAUUUACUGGGCGUAAAGGAUGCGUAGGCGGAUACUUAAGUCAGAUGUGAAAAUCCCGGGCUUAACUUGGGAACUGCAUUUGAAACUGGGUAUCUAGAGUGCGGGAGAGGAAAGUGGAAUUCCUAGUGUAGCGGUGAAAUGCGUAGAGAUUAGGAAGAACCACCAGUGGCGAAGGGCGACUUUCUGGACCGUAACUGGACGCUGAGGCAUGAAAGCGUGGGGGAGGCACACCAGGAUUAGAUACCCCGGUAGUCCACGCCGUAAACGAUGAAUACUAGGUGUGGGGGUUAUCAGGACCUCCGUGCCGCAGUAACU